GAAAUGCGAUAAGUAAUGUGAAUUGCAGAAUUCAGUGAAUCAUCGAAUCUUUGAACGCACCUUGCGCUCCUUGGUAUUCCUUGGAGCAUGCCUGUUUGAGUAUCAUGAAAUCUUCAAAGUAAAUCUUUUGUUAACUCAAUUGGUUUCUACUUUGGUAUUGGAGGUCUUUGCAGCUUCACACCUGCUCCUCUUUGUUCAUUAGCUGGAUCUCAGUGUUAUGCUUGGUUCCACUCGGCGUGAUAAGUUAUCUAUCGCUGAGGACACUGUAAAAGGUGGCCAAGGUAAAUGCAGAUGAACCGCUUCUAAUAGUCCAUUGACUUGGACAAUACUUUUAUGAUCUGUUCUCAACUCAGGUAGGACUACCCGCUGAACUUAAGCA
rnacentral:misc_RNA from 1 species